rnacentral:rRNA from 1 species
AUACAUGCAGUCGGACGGGAUUCAGGGAGUAGCUUGCUACGAACUGAUGAGAGUGGCGCACGGGUGCGUAACGCGUGAGCAACCUACCCAUAUCAGGGGGAUAGCCUCUCGAAAGAGAGAUUAACACCGCAUAACAUCAUUUACCGGCAUCGGUUUUUGAUCAAAUAUUUAUAGGAUAUGGAUGGGCUCGCGUGACAUUAGCUAGUUGGAGAGGUAACGGCUCACCAAGGCUACGAUGUCUAGGGGCUCUGAGAGGAGAAUCCCCCACACUGGUACUGAGACACGGACCAGACUCCUACGGGAGGCAGCAGUAAGGAAUAUUGGUCAAUGGAGGCAACUCUGAACCAGCCAUGCCGCGUGCAGGAUGACUGCCCUAUGGGUUGUAAACUGCUUUUGUCAGGGAAUAAACCUUUCUACGUGUAGAAAGCUGAAUGUACCUGAAGAAUAAGGAUCGGCUAACUCCGUGCCAGCAGCCGCGGUAAUACGGAGGAUCCAAGCGUUAUCCGGAUUUAUUGGGUUUAAAGGGUGCGUAGGCGGUCCUAUAAGUCAGUGGUGAAAGACGGCAGCUUAACUGUCGCAGUGCCUUUGAUACUGUAGGACUUGAAUCUAUUUGAAGUGGGCGGAAUAAGACAAGUAGCGGUGAAAUGCAUAGAUAUGUCUUAGAACUCCGAUUGCGAAGGCAGCUCACUAAGUUAGUAUUGACGCUGAUGCACGAAAGCGUGGGGGAUCAAACAGGAUUAGAUACCCUGGUAGUCCACGCC